AGAGUUUGAUCCUGGCUCAGGAUGAACGCUAGCGGCAGGCCUAACACAUGCAAGUCGAGGGGCAGCGCGGUGUAGCAAUACAUUGGCGGCGACCGGCGCACGGGUGCGUAACGCGUAUACAAUUUGCCUUAUACAGGGAGAUAGCCCGGAGAAAUUCGGAUUAAUAUCGCAUAAAAUUUCUGGUUCGCAUGAAUUGGAUCUUAAAGCUACGGCGGUAUAAGAUGAGUAUGCGUCUGAUUAGCUAGUUGGUGAGGUAACGGCUCACCAAGGCGACGAUCAGUAGGGGGCCUGAGAGGGUUAUCCCCCACACUGGAACUGAGACACGGUCCAGACUCCUACGGGAGGCAGCAGUGAGGAAUAUUGGUCAAUGGAGGCAACUCUGAACCAGCCAUGCCGCGUGCAGGAAGAAUGCCCUAUGGGUUGUAAACUGCUUUUAUUUGGGAAUAAACCCCUCUACGUGUAGGGGGCUGAAGGUACCAAAGGAAUAAGGACCGGCUAACUCCGUGCCAGCAGCCGCGGUAAUACGGAGGGUCCGAGCGUUAUCCGGAAUCAUUGGGUUUAAAGGGUGCGCAGGCGGUUUUGUAAGUCAGUGGUGAAAUCCCGUAGCUCAACUACGGAACUGCCAUUGAUACUGCAGAACUUGAAUACAGUUGAAGUAGGCGGAAUGUGUAGUGUAGCGGUGAAAUGCUUAGAUAUUACACAGAACACCGAUAGCGAAGGCAGCUUACUAAACUGAGAUUGACGCUCAUGCACGAAAGCGUGGGGAGCGAACAGGAUUAGAUACCCUGGUAGUCCACGCCGUAAACUAUGAUUACUCGUUCUCGGCGAUAUACGGUCGGGGACUAAGCGAAAGUGAUAAGUAAUCCACCUGGGGAGUACGAUCGCAAGAUUGAAACUCAAAGGAAUUGACGG
rnacentral:rRNA from 1 species